AGAGUUUGAUCAUGGCUCAGAUUGAACGCUGGCGGCGUGCCUAACACAUGCAAGUCGAGCGGUAACAGGUGUAGCAAUACAUGCUGACGAGCGGCGAACGGGUGAGUAAUGCUUUGGAAUCUUCCCAGUAGUGGGGAAUAACCAGUCGAAAGAUUGGCUAAUACCGCAUACGUCUGUAAAGGGAAAGCGGGGGCUCGUAAGACCUCGCGCUAUUGGAUGAGCCAAAGUCGGAUUAGCUAGUUGGUGGGGUAAUGGCCUACCAAGGCGACAAUCCGUAGCUGGUCUGAGAGGACGACCAGCCACACCGGAACUGAGACACGGUCCGGACUCCUACGGGAGGCAGCAGUGGGGAAUAUUGGACAAUGGGGGAAACCCUGAUCCAGCGACGCCGCGUGUGUGAAGAAGGCCUGCGGGUUGUAAAGCACUUUUAGUGGGGACAAAAAGCUACGGAUUAAUACUCUGUGGUCUUGAUUUAACCUACAGAAAAAGCACCGGCUAACUCUGUGCCAGCAGCCGCGGUAAUACAGAGGGUGCGAGCGUUAAUCGGAAUUACUGGGCGUAAAGCGCGCGUAGACGGUUUUGUAAGUCAGAUGUGAAAUCCCUGGGCUCAACCUGGGAACUGCAUUUGAGACUGCAUGGCUAGAGUAUCGAAGAGGGAAAGUGGAAAUUUCCGGUGUAGCGGUGAAAAUGCGUAGAUAUCGGAAAGGAACACCAGUGGCGAAAAGCGACUUCCUGGUCGAAUACUGACGUUCAAUGUGCGAAAGCGUGGGGAGCAAACAGGAAUUAGAUACCCCUGUAGUCC
rnacentral:rRNA from 1 species